rnacentral:rRNA from 1 species
UGUGGAUUGUCCUUUGGACAAUGGUAGGAGAGCGUUCUAAGGGCGUUGAAGCAUGAUCGUAAGGACAUGUGGAGCGCUUAGAAGUGAGAAUGCCGGUGUGAGUAGCGAAAGACGGGUGAGAAUCCCGUCCACCGAUUGACUAAGGUUUCCAGAGGAAGGCUCGUCCGCUCUGGGUUAGUCGGGUCCUAAGCUGAGGCCGACAGGCGUAGGCGAUGGAUAACAGGUUGAUAUUCCUGUACCACCUAUAAUCGUUUUAAUCGAUGGGGGGACGCAGUAGGAUAGGCGAAGCGUGCGAUUGGAUUGCACGUCUAAGCAGUAAGGCUGAGUAUUAGGCAAAUCCGGUACUCAUUAAGGCUGAGCUGUGAUGGGGAGAAGACAUUGUGUCUUCGAGUCGUUGAUUUCACACUGCCGAGAAAAGCCUCUAGAUAGAAAAUAGGUGCCCGUACCGCAAACCGACACAGGUAGUCAAGAUGAGAAUUCUAAGGUGAGCGAGCGAACUCUCGUUAAGGAACUCGGCAAAAUGACCCCGUAACUUCGGGAGAAGGGGUGCUCUUUAGGGUUAACGCCCAGAAGAGCCGCAGUGAAUAGGCCCAAGCGACUGUUUAUCAAAAACACAGGUCUCUGCUAAACCGUAAGGUGAUGUAUAGGGGCUGACGCCUGCCCGGUGCUGGAAGGU